AUUGAACGCUGGCGGCAGGCCUAACACAUGCAAGUCGAGCGGAUGAAGGGAGCUUGCUCCUGGAUUCAGCGGCGGACGGGUGAGUAAUGCCUAGGAAUCUGCCUGGUAGUUGGGGAUAACGUCCGGAAACGGGCGCUAAUACCGCAUACGUCCUGAUGUAGAAAGUGGGGGAUCUUCGGACCUCACGCUAUCAGAUGAGCCUAGGUCGGAUUAGCUAGUUGGUGGGGUAAAUGCCUACCAAGGCGACGAUCCGUAACUGGUCUGAGAGGAUGAUCAGUCACAGUGGAACUGAGACACGGUACAGACUCCUACGGGAGGCAGCAGUGGGGAAUAUUGGACAAUGGGCGAAAGCCUGAUACAGCCAUGCCGCGUGUGAAGAAGGUCUUCGGAUUGUAAAGCACUGUAAAUUGGGAGGAAGGGAAGUAAGUUAAUACCUUGCUGUUUUGACGUUACCAACAGAAUAAGCAACGGCUAACUUCGUG
rnacentral:rRNA from 1 species